rfam:Oryza nivara chromosome 6, whole genome shotgun sequence.
AAAAAGACCAAAUUUUUCGGUUUUCGUGUCCAACGUUUGACCAUCCGUCUUAUAUGAAAUUUUUUUAUGAUUAGUAUUUUUAUUAUUGUUAGAUGAUAAAACCUGAAUAAUAUUUUAUGCAUGACUUAUCUUUUUAUAUAUUUUUAUAUUUUUUUCAAAUAAGACGAACGGUCAAACGUUAGACACGAAAACCCAGGAAUUGAGUUUUU